CGAACGCUGGCGGCAUGCCUAAUACAUGCAAGUCGAACGCUUUUGUUUCACCGGGUGCUUGCACCCAUCGAAACAAAAGAGUGGCGGACGGGUGAGUAACACGUGGGUAACCUGCCCAUAAGAGGGGGAUAACAUCCGGAAACGGAUGCUAAUACCGCAUAUUUCCAAUUGUCUCCUGACAGAUGGAAAAAAGGUGGCUUCGGCUACCGCUUAUGGAUGGACCCGCGGCGUAUUAGCUAGUUGGUGAGGUAAUGGCUCACCAAGGCGAUGAUACGUAGCCGACCUGAGAGGGUGAUCGGCCACACUGGGACUGAGACACGGCCCAGACUCCUACGGGAGGCAGCAGUAGGGAAUCUUCCGCAAUGGACGAAAGUCUGACGGAGCAAUGCCGCGUGAGUGAAGAAGGUUUUCGGAUCGUAAAACUCUGUUGUUAGAGAAGAACAAGGAUGAGAGUAACUGCUCAUCCCCUGACGGUAUCUAACCAGAAAGCCACGGCUA
rnacentral:rRNA from 1 species